CCUACGGGCGGCAGCAGUGAGGAAUAUUGGUCAAUGGCCGUAAGGCUGAACCAGCCAAGCCGCGUGAAGGAAGAAGGAUCUCUGGUUUGUAAACUUCUUUUAUAGGGGAAUAAAGGUAUCCAUGUGUGGAUAUUUGCAUGUACCCUAUGAAUAAGCAGCGGCUAACUCCGUGCCAGCAGCCGCGGUAAUACGGAGGAUGCGAGCGUUAUCCGGAUUUAUUGGGUGUAAAGGGUGCGUAGGUUGUUAUGUAAGUCAGCGGUGAAAGUUUGUGGCUCAACCAUAAAAUUGCCGUUGAAACUGGAAGACUGGAGUGUGGGUGAGGUAGGCGGAAUUCGUGGUGUAGCGGUGAAAUGCAUAGAUAUCACGCAGAACUCCGAUUGCGAAGGCAGCUUACUAGGCCAUAACUGACACUGAAGCACGAAAGCGUGGGGAUCAAACAGGAUUAGAUACCCGUGUAGUC
rnacentral:rRNA from 1 species